GACGAACGCUGGCGGCGUGCCUAAUACAUGCAAGUCGAACGCUGAAGAGAGGAGCUUACUCUUCUUGGAUGAGUUGCGAACGGGUGAGUAACGCGUAGGUAACCUGCCUUGUAGCGGGGGAUAACUAUUGGAAACGAUAGCUAAUACCGCAUAACAAUGGAUGACACAUGUCAUUUAUUUGAAAGGGGCAAUUGCUCCACUACAAGAUGGACCUGCGUUGUAUUAGCUAGUAGGUGAGGUAAUGGCUCACCUAGGCGACGAUACAUAGCCGACCUGAGAGGGUGAUCGGCCACACUGGGACUGAGACACGGCCCAGACUCCUACGGGAGGCAGCAGGAAGGAAUCUUCGGCAAUUGGGGCAACCCUGACCGAGGAACGCCGCGGGAGGGAAGAAGGGUUUCGGAUCGUAAAGCUCUGUUGUAAGUCAAGAACGGGUGUGAGAGUGGAAAGUUCACACUGUGACGGUAGCUUACCAGAAAGGGACGGCUAACUACGUG
rnacentral:rRNA from 1 species